AUGUGUGUCAUUCAGAGGGUGAGUGAGCAAGACAAAAUAUGUAGGUGCCUUUGAACAGGAUAUGGUAGUAGGUGCCUUUGAACAGGAUAUGGUAGUAGGUGCCUUUGAACAGGAUAUGGUAGUAGGUGCCUUUGAACAGGAUAUGGUAGUAGGUGCCUUUGAACAGGAUAUGGUAGUAGGUGCCUUUGAACAGGAUAUGGUAGUAGGUGCCUUUGAACAGGAUAUGGUAGUAGGUGCCUUUGAACAGGAUAUGGUAGUAGGUGCCUUUGAACAGGAUAUGGUAGUAGGUGCCUUUGAACAGGAUAUGGUAGUAGGUGCAUUUGAACAGGAUAUGGUAGUAGGUGCCUUUGAACAGGAUAUGGUAGUAGGUGCAUUUGAACAGGAUAUGGUAGUAGGUGCAUUUGAACAGGAUAUGGUAGUAGGUGCCUUUGAACAGGAUAUGGUAGUAGGUGCAUUUGAACAGGAUAUGGUAGUAGGUGCCUUUGAACAGGAUAUGGUAGUAGGUGCAUUUGAACAGGAUAUGGUAGUAGGUGCCUUUGAACAGGAUAUGGUAGUAGGUGCCUUUGAACAGGAUAUGGUAGUAGGUGCCUUUGAACAGGAUAUGGUAGUAGGUGCCUUUGAACAGGAUAUGGUAGUAGGUGCCUUUGAACAGGAUAUGGUAGUAGGUGCAUUUGAACAGGAUAUGGUAGUAGGUGCCUUUGAACAGGAUAUGGUAGUA